ACGAACGCUGGCGGCAUGCCUAACACAUGCAAGUCGAACGAGACCUUCGGGUCUAGUGGCGCACGGGUGCGUAACGCGUGGGAACCUGCCUUAGGUUCGGAAUAACUCCCCGAAAGGGGUGCUAAUACCGGAUAAUGUCUUCGGACCAAAGAUUUAUCGCCUUUGGAUGGGCCCGCGUUGGAUUAGCUAGUUGGUAGGGUAAAAGCCUACCAAGGCGACGAUCCAUAGCUGGUCUGAGAGGAUGAUCAGCCACACUGGGACUGAGACACGGCCCAGACUCCUACGGGAGGCAGCAGUGGGGAAUAUUGGACAAUGGGCGAAAGCCUGAUCCAGCAAUGCCGCGUGAGUGAUGAAGGCCUUAGGGUUGUAAAGCUCUUUUACCCGGGAUGAUAAUGACAGUACCGGGAGAAUAAGCUCCGGCUAACUCCGUG
rnacentral:rRNA from 1 species